UGUACUUGGGAAAGAUUCAAGCAUGUUGUCCUGAAUUUGUCCAGGAACUUGCCACAUACAGGGAAACUGCCAUUGCCACCCAUAAUUCCUGCUUUGUAGUUUACCAUGUGAUUAUUGCUCCAGGUGAUUGUAGAGGGAGGAAGCAGGAGGGGGAAAGGAGGAAGUUGCCAGCCUUGCUCAGACAAACUGCCUUCCCACUUGUGCAGGUGCAAACCCAAGCAGCGUUCCUGCUGGCGAUGGAGCUGGCGAGACUGCUUGGCCUGGAAGAAACGAAGAUGGCGACGGAGCAGGAGAAGCACAUGCUGAGGCUGCUCAUCCCUCUCGCUAAACUUUAUACUGCAAAACAGGUCACACUCAGUUUGAUACCAUGGGAUAAGCCGUGGUGUCCCUGACUGGCAAAGAGGGCACCUCUACAGGGCAGGUGUUCAUAGGAGCUGAGGGGAGGAAAAAUCUGCGCAGGCUGUUCUAUUUCUGACCGGGUGUUUGGCCAUUGAGUCUCUUGGUUCAAAGAAUUGGGAAUCAUUGUCAGCCCCUCUUCCCCUAACAACGUUUAUUCAAAGGCAUCAGUUUUUGUCACAAACUUAUGAAGGCAGGUGCGUUUGAAUGAAAUGGGUUGGUCAGAAGAGGAGCUAAUGGGUUCCUGGUUAUUUGGUUUGGCUGAAGCCCAUAGGCAGACAGACCCCUGAAUCUUCACGUAAACGUGGCUGACGUGUCUUUCCUGCCUUUAAAGAUCAAAUGCACAAAACAAAAACAUUCAAACAUUUACGUAUCUGGUGGGCUGUUGUUUGUGCUUCUCCUAGCCUGGCAUAUUUGUCGGGUGUAAACAAGUCAGUUUGUAUUUCAGGCUAUCGCUGUGGCCUCAGAAGGCCUGGAGUGUUUCGGAGGACAGGGCUUCAUGGAAGACACAGAACUGCCUGUUGUUCUUCGGGAUAUCCAGGCGCUAUCAAUCUGGGAGGGAACCACGAACAUCCUGUGCCUGGAUGUUCUGCGCUGCAUUUUCAAGAGCCAAGGAAAAGUGCUGGAUGUCUUUUUCUCCACUGCCCAGGUAAGCACCAAUAAAUGAGUUUCUCACACUAACUAUAAAUGUUAAAAUUUCAAAUGCACCUCGUAGGAGCAAUAGGCUGUCAGCCUCAUGUAAAAUGAGGUGGUCCUUGUUGACAUUGAUGUGCUGCUAUUGCCACUUCAGAACUCACUUCGAUGCAGUUGGCAGUCUCUUUCAUCUUGUUCAUAGUUAACAGAAAUUGGUUUAUGAGAGAAAUUGGUUUUUUAAGUAGCACAGUCCAAAUUUACUGCCACUACUUAUGGUAUUUUGCCUACAGUCAGGGUGAAAAAUAUAACCUUCAUCUGCCAUAGUAGAAACCAGUCCAAGGGUCUUAAAUCUAAAGCACAGGCAGACCCAGAGACUUCUAAAAAUGACAAUUCCA
rnacentral:lncRNA from 1 species